GAUGAACGCUGGCGGCAUGCCUAAUACAUGCAAGUCGAGCGAACAGACGAGGAGCUUGCUCCUCUGACGUUAGCGGCGGACGGGUGAGUAACACGUGGAUAACCUACCUAUAAGACUGGGAUAACUUCGGGAAACCGGUGCUAAUACCGGAUAAUAUAUUGAACCGCAUGGUUCAAUAGUGAAAGACGGUUUUGCUGGCACUUAUAGAUGGAUCCGCGCCGCAUUAGCUAGUUGGUAAGGUAACGGCUUACCAAGGCAACGAUGCGUAGCCGACCUGAGAGGGUGAUCGGCCACCCUGGAGCUGAGACACGGUCCAGACUCCUACGGGAGGCCGCAGUAGGGAAUCUUCCGCAAUGGGCGAAAGCCUGACGGAGCAACGCCGCGUGAGUGAUGAAGGUCUUCGGAUCGUAAAACUCUGUUAUUAGGGAAGAACAAAUGUGUAAGUAACUAUGCACGUCUUGACGGUACCUAAUCAGAAAGCCACGGCUAACUACGUG
rnacentral:rRNA from 1 species